rnacentral:rRNA from 1 species
GAGUGAACGCUGGCGGUAGGCCUACCACAUGCAAGUCGAACGGCAGCACAGUAAGAGCUUGCUCUUACGGGUGGCGAGUGGCGGACGGGUGAGGAAUACAUCGGAAUCUACUUUUUCGUGGGGGAUAACGUAGGGAAACUUACGCUAAUACCGCAUACGACCUACGGGUGAAAGCAGGGGAUCUUCGGACCUUGCGCGAUUGAAUGAGCCGAUGUCGGAUUAGCUAGUUGGCGGGGUAAAGGCCCACCAAGGCGACGAUCCGUAGCUGGUCUGAGAGGAUGAUCAGCCACACUGGAACUGAGACACGGUCCAGACUCCUACGGGAGGCAGCAGUGGGGAAUAUUGGACAAUGGGCGCAAGCCUGACCCAGCCAUACCGCGUGGGUGAAGAAGGCCUUCGGGUUGUAAAGCCCUUUUGUUGGGAAAGAAAAGCGGCAGGUUAAUACCCCGCUGUUCUGACGGUACCCAAAGAAUAAGCACCGGCUAACUUCGUG